UAUGAACUUUCAACCAUUCAUGAUAACCACCGAUGAUGCCAUUACGGAUGCCCCUAAGUUCUUUAUCUUUCCUUAACGGGCUUUCCCAUGCCUUGUGGAUUCUUUGUAUAAUCUUGAAACUUUGCGCGUCGAAAUCUCUCACAAGGAAAGGAGAGAGGCUUUCUUCCGCCGGUGCUCCCCUCAUGGGGUACCCUAACUGUCUUAUAGCAAGUGUGGG
rnacentral:lncRNA from 1 species